rnacentral:misc_RNA from 1 species
GUACUCUCACUCUCCCGAUGCUUUUGAAUCGGGAGUGGUGGACUUGGGUGUUGCUGCUUCACUGUGGCUCGCCUCAAAUGGAGUAGUGCAACUCUUGGUUGGACAUAGUACGGCGUGAUAAGUAUCUUCGCCGGCGCCUCACUAGAGGGUGGCCGAUCGGGAGCUCUGUGCUUCAAACCGUCUUCGGACAACAUCUGACA